rnacentral:rRNA from 1 species
UCUGAAUAUUUAUGGCUUUCGAGUUCUUUCGUGCUCUGAAUAUCUAUGGCUAGAUAAAGUACAAGUCGUAACAAGGUUUCAGUUGGAGAACCAGCUGAAGGAUCAUU